rnacentral:rRNA from 1 species
UAGGGAAUAUUGGACAAUGGGGGCAACCCUGAUCCAGCCAUGCCGCGUGAGUGAAGAAGGCCCUCGGGUUGUAAAGCUCUUUUGUCCGGAAAGAAAAGCAUUCGGUGAAUACCCGGAUGUUCUGACGGUACCGGAAGAAUAAGCACCGGCUAACUUCGUGCCAGCAGCCGCGGUAAUACGAAGGGUGCAAGCGUUACUCGGAAUUACUGGGCGUAAAGCGCGCGUAGGUGGUUGUUUAAGUCUGAUGUGAAAGCCCUGGGCUCAACCUGGGAAUGGCAUUGGAAACUGGGCAGCUAGAGUGCGGUAGAGGGUAGUGGAAUUCCCGGUGUAGCAGUGAAAUGCGUAGAGAUCGGGAGGAACAUCUGUGGCGAAGGCGACUGCCUGGACCAGCACUGACACUGAGGCACGAAAGCGUGGGGAGCAAACA